rnacentral:rRNA from 1 species
UAGGGAAUCUUCCACAAUGGGCGAAAGCCUGAUGGAGCAACGCCGCGUGUGUGAUGAAGGGUUUCAGCUCGUAAAACACUGUUGUAAGAGAAGAAUGACAUUGAGAGUAACUGUUCAAUGUGUGACGGUAUCUUACCAGAAAGGAACGGCUAAAUACGUGCCAC